rnacentral:tRNA from 1 species
GAGAAAGGCAUAGUGGUUAUGAUAUUGGCUUGAAACCAAUUCCAGAGGGUUCGAUUCCUUCCUUUCUUA